ncrna:unclassified sequences PhotoRC-II RNA
UUACCUUAUAUUUGCUCCCGCUAACCAAGACCUAUGGGAGGGUAAAUUACGUCUUUCAUAUCCAUCAGUGAAGGGAUUGAUGGAAAUAUAGUAUCGC